UACGUAGGGUGCAAGCGUUAUCCGGAAUUAUUGGGCGUAAAGAGCUCGUAGGCGGUUUGUCGCGUCUGCUGUGAAAACCUAAGGCUCAACCUUGGGCUUGCAGUGGGUACGGGCAGACUAGAGUGCGGUAGGGGGUGACUGGAAUUCCUGGUGUAGCGGUGGAAUGCGCAGAUAUCAGGGAGGAACACCGAUGGCGAAAGGCAGGUCACU
rnacentral:rRNA from 1 species